AACGAACGCUGGCGGCGUGCUUAACACAUGCAAGUCGAACGCGAAAGGGACUUCGGUCCUGAGUAAAGUGGCGCACGGGUGAGUAACGCGUAGAUAACCUGUCUUCAUGUCUGGAAUAAUACGCCGAAAGGGGUACUAAUACCGGAUAUCUUGCUUUUCAUAAGUUAUGCAAGCAAAGGUGGCCUCUGCAUAUGCUACUGCAUGAAGAGGGGUCUGCGUACCAUUAGCUAGUAGGUGGGGUAAUGGCCUACCUAGGCGACGAUGGUUAGCGGGUCUGAGAGGAUGAUCCGCCACACUGGCACUGGAACACGGGCCAGACUCCUACGGGAGGCAGCAGUGAGGAAUAUUGCGCAAUGGGGGAAACCCUGACGCAGCGACGCCGCGUGAGUGAGGGAAAAGGCCUUCGGGUCGUAAAGCUCUGUCAAGAGGAAAGAAGUGUACAAUGGCUAAUACCUGUUGUAUUUGACGGUACCUCUAAAGGAAGCACCGGCUAACUCCGUGCCAGCAGCAGC
rnacentral:rRNA from 1 species